rnacentral:rRNA from 1 species
GCUGAACGCUAGCUACAGGCUUAACACAUGCAAGUCGAGGGGCAACGAUAUUGGAAGCUUGCUUCCGAUAGGCGUCGACCGGCGCACGGGUGAGUAACGCGUAUCCAACCUGCCCAUCACUUGGGGAUAACCUUGCGAAAGUAAGACUAAUACCCAAUGAUAUCUCUAGAAGACAUCUGAAGGGGAUUAAAGAUUUAUCGGUGAUGGAUGGGGAUGCGUCUGAUUAGCUUGUUGGCGGGGUAACGGCCCACCAAGGCGACGAUCAGUAGGGGUUCUGAGAGGAGGGUCCCCCACAUUGGAACGUAGACACGGUCCAAAAUCCUACGGGAGGCAGCAGUGAGGAAUAUUGGUAAAUGGGCGAGAGCCUGCACCAGCCAAGUAGCGUGCAGGAAGACGGCCCUAUGGGUUGUAAACUGCGUUUAUAAGGGAAUAAAGUGAGUCUCGUGAGACUUUUUGCAGGUACCUUAUGAAUAAGGACCGGCUAAUUCCGUGCCAGCCGCCGCCGUAA